rnacentral:ribozyme from 1 species
AGGAAAAGAAAGAAAGAAACGCUAGAGAGCUUUUUCGUUUUUCGUUUUUUUCAUUUUUUUUUUUG